ACACGAACCGUCCGAACGUUAUUCGGAAUCAUUGGGCUUAAAGGGUGCGUAGGCGGCGCGGUAAGUUGGGUGUGAAAUCCCUCGGCUCAACCGAGGAAUUGCGCCCAAUACUGCCGUGCUCGAGAGAGACAGAGGUAAGCGGAACUGAUGGUGGAGCGGUGAAAUGCGUUGAUAUCAUCAGGAACACCAGUGGCGAAAGCGGCUUACUGGGUCUCUUCUGACACUGAGGCACGAAAGCUAGGGUAGCGAACGGGAUUAGAAACCCCAGUAGUCC
rnacentral:rRNA from 1 species